UGAAGACCACGGGUGUUCCUUGAGGAGCCAGUAAGUCAAGCAUCUGCAACUCCCCUGUGCACAGUGUAGGGCAGGGGGAAUGAAUGAGGCUAUAGCGGGGUGUGGACUGUGGUAUACUGGGAGGGCAGCACCUACUCUGCCUGAAGGGGGAGCACCUGCUUUGCCUGAAGGGGCGGCCCCUUGAGCAUCAGGGGACUGUAGGGAGGUGAGCCCACCUUCAUCAGCUCUGCCAGUUUUACAAAUAGACACUGAACACCUGAAUUUUUUUUCAUGCAAAAUCUUUAUGUUUUAAAUGCUGACAACCAAACUUAACGGAAAUGUAAAUCAUAUUUGUGGGCCAAACAAAACAUCUGUGGGCUGAUAUACUACAAGUUUGUGACCUGGGCCUAUAGGGGUUCUCUGCACUGGCUCUUUUGUAUAAUUAAUAUCAAAUUUUCAAAUCAGAAAGUGAGUGUUGAAAUGGUGCUUGGAGUUCCUGUAGUUCAGUCUCCCACUCCAUGUAAAAAAGUCCUUUCUACAAUAGGCACACUGAAUUUAAGGAAGCUAAUAAUUCAAGCCAGACACUUGCACUUUCUUCGUUGCCUUUUUAUUUUAAAAGAUUAUGGAGUGAGGAGUUAGGUAAAGAGAUGGAGGUAGAGGGAAGUUUUGGGAAGCAGGCCAAAAAUUUAGGACUGGAAGUGGCUUCAAUGUUGAUUUUGGGUUUUUGGAUGAUUCUCUCUUACGGUUACCCCUCGUAUUUUUCAACCCUAAUUUAUCAAAAUGCAUCAGCAAGGUUGGGGCUUAGGUUUUCCAGAAUUCCCAGAGGGAAACAGAAUUUUAGGCCUGGAGCAGACCUUAGAAUUAAUGUUGUCAAAUUUUCUUAUUUUACAGAUGAGGGAACUGAAAUCCGUGAGCUUUAAACCGCUUGCUUGAAGACACGGCUGACAUUUGUGGCUGAAUCCUAAUGUAGUUAAUUUUCCUUUCAAUGGGUCAACUUGCAACUGGUAAGUAGGAUCCAAACAAAACUACAAUCACCUUGAAAUAUCCUGUAGCCUUUUCUACCUCACAUCUCAAUAGCUCUCACUUUUUGAGAGACACAAAGAUUUCUUUUUAAAGAAGCAGCUGGUAUUUAUUUGACUUCAUGAGCUACCUUAUCGAAAUAAUGAGAUAACUAAUAGAAGCUAUUUCGAAAUAGAGCCAACUAAAGAUUGCACAUGAUUCUGGAAACAGGGUUGGCAUGAACCACAGAUAAUCCCCACAAGUCAUUUCACUAGUUCCCAUUGUCCUAAUAAAAGCCUUUGGAGGGGUGCUAAUAAGUGUCAAAUUAAACAAUGUGUGUUUCAUUUCCUCUAUUUGCCCUCUGAAAGAGAUGCUGGCAAAAUGGCAGAUACAGCAGUAGUGGGAAGGACAAGGAGGAGAAAUGAAGGCACCAAAGAGCUCCAAAAUUUAGACAGUCCAUCCCUAAAUGAUCGAAAGUUGUGUGUAACAUGGCACAAAUUAUUAUGAGUUGAAAUUUUUUGGUCACUAGGGACAAGGACACAAAACAGAGCCCACGAGUGUGUGAGAAGGGCCCGAGGGAUCAUUCAGUUUGUUUGCAUUGUUGGGUUUUGUUUUUCUCUUGGUAUGGCACCUACACACAAAUUUGACGAGCCAAAAUAUGAAUAAGAACAUAGGCAGUCACAGUGACCUUUUAUUAAAUGCAGAGACAGUUAUGUGUCACAUGAAACAUCAACAAAAGCCCAGUUCUGGUAGCCAGCAAGAUUUUUUUGCCACAUUUAUACUUGGUCCUCUUUAAUUAUACAGAGUUGCCCCCAGAGUACUGAAAUGAUAGACUAGAACACGAUGACUUCAGCAGGGGAUCAGAGCUUUAGAGCUUCAUCAUUCAUGUGAGCCAAGUGCGAAAUUUCAGCCUGUCUCUCCUCUAAAUGCAGUUAGGAGUCUUCGAAACCUUUUGUGUGAAUCCAGGAGGGAAAAUUGUCUGGCAAAGUCUGAUAAGCAUCGUGUCAAGAGCACAUUUGUACUCUGGUAAGAAGCCCAGGCCAAUUGCUGCUGGGUUGUCAUGGCAACAGAAAUACACACCAUUUACACAUCAGCUUCUGAAAUGAGCACAAAAUAACAAAACCUUUUCGACAGGAUGGGAGGUGAAGGGAAGAGCAGCAUCAUCUGUGCAGCCUGGUGAAACGGUGUUUACGACAGUCUACACGGCACUACUGGGUAUGCUGUCUCCUUGGAUUGUGUCAUAUUUUUAACCCAGUGGGAAAUUCAUAGGAUCCUCUUGACUCUGUAAAAACUGUGGGACAAUUCAGUCACUUUUACCAAAUCCUCAUUUCCUUUUCAAACCCUGUUUACUAACUGAUGCCAAAUAGUAUUAUAGUAAUUGGGAAAUAAAGGAAGUCCCUCUCCUGCUUAUUCCUUCCAAAGUACAUUUCUUUACCUUUUCAUGGAGGUUUGGUAGGAUACUUACAUAUUGUAGAGGGAGGUGGAGAAAAUACUCAUAUAUUGUAGAGGGAGGUGGAGAAGGAGGAGGAGGUCUUUCAUGGACCUACAGAAAAUGAAGUUAAUCAUGGUUGGAAAGCCUCCCCUUAAAAACGCAGGUUUUUUGGUUUUUUUUUUUUUUUUUUUUUUUUUUUUAAGGAGUCUUACUCUGUCACCUAGGCUGGAGUGCAA
rnacentral:lncRNA from 1 species